AUUGAACGCUGGCGGCAGGCCUAACACAUGCAAGUCGAACGGAACCUUCGGGUUUAGUGGCGAACGGGUGAGUAAUGCCUAGGAAUCUGCCUAUUAGUGGGGGAUAACGAAUCGAAAGGUUCGCUAAUACCGCAUACGUCCUACGGGAGAAAGAGGGGGAUCUUCGGACCUCUUGCUAAUAGAUGAGCCUAGGUCGGAUUAGCUAGUUGGUGAGGUAAAGGCUCACCAAGGCGACGAUCUGUAGCUGGUCUGAGAGGAUGGCCAGCCACACUGGAACUGAGACACGGUCCAGACUCCUACGGGAGGCAGCAGUGGGGAAUAUUGGACAAUGGGCGCAAGCCUGAUCCAGCCAUGCCGCGUGUGUGAAGAAGGCCCUCGGGUU
rnacentral:rRNA from 1 species